UUGCCAUUCUUGGUUAUAUGGAUAAUAAUAUCUCAACACUCAAUAGAGAUGGAUGGAUCGGUAAGUAUGUAUGUCAAAAAUAAUUUAAAAAUGACUAUGUUUGAGGCUAACAAUCCAACCGAAUUGGAUCAUAUUCAAAUCAAAUUGCUUACAAGAUAAAUUAAAAAAAUCUACCGGCUCAAAAAUCGAUCCAUUCAUCAAUUUGAUCAAAAAUCCAAAUAUGAGCCUCUC
rnacentral:lncRNA from 1 species